GCUGAGAUGGCCGAGUGGUUAAGGCGAGUGAUUUGAAUUGGGCAUUGCAGCUCACGUGAUCACUUGGUGUUUCACCGCACAGGUUCAAACCCUGUUCUCAGCG